rnacentral:rRNA from 1 species
UACGUAGGGUACAAGCAUUAAUCGGAAUUAUUGGGCGUAAAGGGCGCGUAGGCGGAGAUGUAAGUCAGGUGUGAAAUACCAAAGCUCAACUUUGGUGCUGCAUUUGAAACUGCAUUUCUUGAGGAUUGACGGAGAAAGCGGAAUUCCACGUGUAGCGGUGAAAUGCGUAGAUACGUGGAGGAACACCGGUGGCGAAAGCGGCUUUCUAGUUUUUACCUGACGCUGAGGCGCGAGAGCAAGGGGAGCAAACAGG